rnacentral:rRNA from 1 species
AGAGUUUGAUCCUGGCUCAGGAUGAACGCUGGCGGCCCGCCUAACACAUGCAAGUCGAACGGAGUUUAGAGGAGCUUGCUUUUCUAAACUUAGUGGCGGACGGGUGAGUAACACGUGAGCAACCUGCCUUUCAGAGAGGGAUAGCUUCUGGAAACGGAUGGUAAUACCUCAUAACAUAUCGUGAUGGCAUCAUCGUGAUAUCAAAGAUUUAUCGCUGAGAGAUGGGCUCGCGUCUGAUUAGCUUGUUGGUGAGGUAACGGCCCACCAAGGCAACGAUCAGUAGCCGGACUGAGAGGUUGAACGGCCACAUUGGGACUGAGACACGGCCCAGACUCCUACGGGAGGCAGCAGUGGGGAAUAUUGCACAAUGGGCGCAAGCCUGAUGCAGCGAUGCCGCGUGAGGGAAGAAGGUUUUCGGAUUGUAAACCUCUGUCAACAGGGACGAAAAUGACGGUACCUGUGAAGGAAGCUCCGGCUAACUACGUGCCAGCAGCCGCGGUAAUACGUAGGGAGCAAGCGUUAUCCGGAAUUACUGGGUGUAAAGGGAGCGUAGACGGCAUGGCAAGUCUGAAGUGAAAGCCUGGGGCUCAACCCCGGAACUGCUUUGGAAACUGUUAAGCUAGAGUGCAGGAGAGGUAAGUGGAAUUCCUAGUGUAGCGGUGAAAUGCCUACAUAUUAGGAGGAACACCAGCGGGCGAAGGCGGGCUUACUGGCACUGUAACUGACGUUUGAGGCUCGAAAGCGUGGGGGAGCAAACCGGAUUAGAUACCCUGGUAGUCCACGCUGUAAACGAUGAUUACUAGGUGUUGGAUAGUAUGACUAUUCGGUGCCGCCGCUAACGCAUUAAGUAAUCCACCUGGGGAGUACGUUCGCAAGAAUGAAACUCAAAGGAAUUGACGGGGACCCGCACAAGCGGUGGAGCAUGUGGUUUAAUUCGAAGCAACGCGAAGAACCUUACCAAAUCUUGACAUCCCGAUGACCAGCUAUGUAAUGUAGCCUCUCUUCGGAGCAUCGGUGACAGGUGGUGCAUGGUUGUCGUCAGCUCGUGUCGUGAGAUGUUGGGUUAAGUCCCGCAACGAGCGCAACCCUUAUCCUUAGUAGCCAGCGGUUUGGCCGGGCACUCUGGGGAGACUGCCAGGGAUAACCUGGAGGAAGGUGGGGAUGACGUCAAAUCAUCAUGCCCCUUAUGAUUUGGGCUACACACGUGCUACAAUGGCGUAAACAAAGUGAAGCGAAGUCGUGAGGCCAAGCAAAUCACAAAAAUAACGUCUCAGUUCGGAUUGUAGUCUGCAACUCGACUACAUGAAGCUGGAAUCGCUAGUAAUCGCAGAUCAGAAUGCUGCGGUGAAUACGUUCCCGGGUCUUGUACACACCGCCCGUCA